rnacentral:rRNA from 1 species
GAACUCUGAGACAGGUGCUGCAUGGCUGUCGUCAGCUCGUGUUGUGAAAUGUUGGGUUAAGUCCCGCAACGAGCGCAACCCUUAUCCUUGUUUGCCAGCGAGUAAUGUCGGGAACUCCAGGGAGACUGCCGGUGAUAAACCGGAGGAAGGUGGGGACGACGUCAAGUCAUCAUGGCCCUUACGAGUAGGGCUACACACGUGCUACAAUGGCGCAUACAGAGGGCAGCCAACUUGCGAAAGUGAGCGAAUCCCAAAAAGUGCGUCGUAGUCCGGAUUGGAGUCUGCAACUCGACUCCAUGAAGUCGGAAUCGCUAGUAAUCGUGGAUCAGAAUGCCACGGUGAAUACGUUCCCGGGCCUUGUACACACCGCCCGUCACACCAUGGGAG